ACGCACGCUGGCGGCGUGCUUCACACCUGCCAGUCGAACGGAAAGGCCCUGCUUGCAGGGUACUCGAGUGGCGAACGGGUGAGUAACACGUGGGUGAUCUGCCCUGCACUUCGGGAUAAGCCUGGGAAACUGGGUCUAAUACCGGAUAGGAGCCAUUUUUAGUGUGAUGGUUGGAAAGUUUUUUCGGUGUAGGAUGAGCUCGCGGCCUAUCAGCUUGUUGGUGGGGUAAUGGCCUACCAAGGCGGCGACGGGUAGCCGGCCUGAGAGGGUGGACGGCCACAUUGGGACUGAGAUACGGCCCAGACUCCUACGGGAGGCAGCAGUGGGGAAUAUUGCACAAUGGGCGCAAGCCUGAUGCAGCGACGCCGCGUGGGGGAUGACGGCCUUCGGGUUGUAAACUCCUUUCGCUAGGGACGAAGCUUUUUGUGACGGUACCUAGAUAAGAAGCACCGGCUAACUACGUG
rnacentral:rRNA from 1 species